ACGAACGUUGGCGGCGUGCUUAAUACAUGCAAGUCAACUGAAGCAGUGGUAGCAAUAUCGCUGUGGAGGUGGCGCACGGGUGAGUAACACGUAGGUAAUCUGCCUUCAGGUCUGGCAUAACUCCGGGAAACCGGGGCUAAUAGCAGAUGAUGCAGCGGCUCGACAUCGAGACAGUUGUUAAAGCUAUGGCGCCUGAAGAUGAGCCUGCGUCUGAUUAGCUAGUUGGCGGGGUAACGGCCCACCAAGGCAACGAUCAGUAGCUGGUCUGAGAGGAUGAUCAGCCACACUGGAACUGAGACACGGUCCAGACUCCUACGGGAGGCAGCAGUAAGGAAUAUUGCUCAAUGGGAGAAAUCCUGAAGCAGCAACGCCGCGUGAGGGACGAAGGGCUUUGGCUUGUAAACCUCUGUAGUGAGAGAAAAAAAUCCCAAUCUUUGGGACAUGAUGGUAUCUCAAAAGUAAGCCCCGGCUAACUACGUG
rnacentral:rRNA from 1 species